AUCCUGCUCAGGAUGAACGCUGGCGGCGUGCCUAAUACAUGCAAGUCGAGCGAACAGACAAGGAGCUUGCUCCUUUGACGUUAGCGGCGGACGGGUGAGUAACACGUGGGUAACCUACCUAUAAGACUGGGAUAACUUCGGGAAACCGGAGCUAAUACCGGAUAAUAUUUCGAACCGCAUGGUUCGAUAGUGAAAGAUGGUUUUGCUAUCACUUAUAGAUGGACCCGCGCCGUAUUAGCUAGUUGGUAAGGUAACGGCUUACCAAGGCGACGAUACGUAGCCGACCUGAGAGGGUGAUCGGCCACACUGGAACUGAGACACGGUCCAGACUCCUACGGGAGGCAGCAGUAGGGAAUCUUCCGCAAUGGGCGAAAGCCUGACGGAGCAACGCCGCGUGAGUGAUGAAGGUCUUCGGAUCGUAAAACUCUGUUAUUAGGGAAGAACAUACGUGUAAGUAACUAUGCACGUCUUGACGGUACCUAAUCAGAAAGCCACGGCUAACUACGUGCCAGCAGCCGCGGUAAUACGUAGGUGGCAAGCGUUAUCCGGAAUUAUUGGGCGUAAAGCGCGCGUAGGCGGUUUUUUAAGUCUGAUGUGAAAGCCCACGGCUCAACCGUGGAGGGUCAUUGGAAACUGGAAAACUUGAGUGCAGAAGAGGAAAGUGGAAUUCCAUGUGUAGCGGUGAAAUGCGCAGAGAUAUGGAGGAACACCAGUGGCGAAGGCGACUUUCUGGUCUGUAACUGACGCUGAUGUGCGAAAGCGUGGGGAUCAAACAGGAUUAGAUACCCUGGUAGUCCACGCCGUAAACGAUGAGUGCUAAGUGUUAGGGGGUUUCCGCCCCUUAGUGCUGCAGCUAACGCAUUAAGCACUCCGCCUGGGGAGUACGACCGCAAGGUUGAAACUCAAAGGAAUUGACGGGGACCCGCACAAGCGGUGGAGCAUGUGGUUUAAUUCGAAGCAACGCGAAGAACCUUACCAAAUCUUGACAUCCUUUGACAACUCUAGAGAUAGAGCCUUCCCCUUCGGGGGACAAAGUGACAGGUGGUGCAUGGUUGUCGUCAGCUCGUGUCGUGAGAUGUUGGGUUAAGUCCCGCAACGAGCGCAACCCUUAAGCUUAGUUGCCAUCAUUAAGUUGGGCACUCUAAGUUGACUGCCGGUGACAAACCGGAGGAAGGUGGGGAUGACGUCAAAUCAUCAUGCCCCUUAUGAUUUGGGCUACACACGUGCUACAAUGGACAAUACAAAGGGCAGCGAAACCGCGAGGUCAAGCAAAUCCCAUAAAGUUGUUCUCAGUUCGGAUUGUAGUCUGCAACUCGACUACAUGAAGCUGGAAUCGCUAGUAAUCGUAGAUCAGCAUGCUACGGUGAAUACGUUCCCGGGUCUUGUACACACCGCCCGUCACACCACGAGAGUUUGUAACACCCGAAGCCGGUGGAGUAACCAUUUGGAGCUAGCCGUCGAAGGUGGGACAAAUGAUUGGGUGACGACAGGAGGGGAAACCCCAACAGACAAAAAAAG
rnacentral:rRNA from 1 species